UACGUAGGCAGCGAGCGUUGUUCGGAGUUACUGGGCGUAAAGCGUGCGUAGGCGGUUUGUCGCGUCGGGAGUGAAAACCAGAGGCUUAACUUCUGGCUUGCUUUCGAUACGGGCAGACUUGAGGCAUGCAGGGGAGAACGGAAUUCCUGGUGUAGCGGUGAAAUGCGUAGAGAUCUGGAAGAACACCAAAGGCGAAGGCAGCGUUCUGGGAAGUAUCUGACGCUCAUGUGCGAAAGCUAGGGGAGCGAACGGG
rnacentral:rRNA from 1 species